rnacentral:rRNA from 1 species
UACGUAGGGGGCAAGCGUUGUCCGGAAUCAUUGGGCGUAAAGAGCGUGUAGGCGGUCCGAUUAGUCCGCUGUGAAAGUCCAGGGCUCAACCCUGGAAAGCCGGUGGAUACUGUCGGGCUAGAGUCCGGAAGAGGCGAGUGGAAUUCCUGGUGUAGCGGUGAAAUGCGCAGAUAUCAGGAGGAACACCGAUGGCGAAGGCAGCUCGCUGGGACGGUACUGACGCUGAGACGCGAAAGCGUGGGGAGCAAACAGG